ACCCGAGGUAAUAGUUUACGGGCUAUUAAGGCCUGAGGAAACUCCGCUCACCACAUGGAACUACGGCGCCGUAAUGGCGCACGGCUAAAAGCCGUGGCUCCGGCACAGAAACGACACGGCCUCCAUCGGAUGUCUAUGAUGCGGUGAGGGCUCCCUGGCAACAGGGAGCCAGUAACCCGCGGAUGUAUGAUGGAGGAUGCGGUGAAACGGCCGUCCCGUAGGGUGUAAGGGCAAGUAUGCGCCGAUGACUUUCCAUGGAAGGUGCGGGUAGCCCGCAUAGCCAAAUACUAUGGAACAGAAAGCGGGUUAUUACCCCGGGU
rnacentral:RNase_P_RNA from 1 species